rnacentral:lncRNA from 1 species
UCAUGUCAAUCUUGGAAACGGAAGGAACGCCUUUUUUCUCUAUGCAUUUUCAGCUGGUCAAAAGAUUAACCACCCAUGAUAGAAAGAAUUAAAUUCUUAGGACAAAAUCACCAACAUCUUCAAUGGGAGAAAAUCCUUUAUCGGCUGAUUCAUUUCCAUGUUUUGUUUCUGCAGGAGACGGGAUAUCCUGUGACUGCCUCCUCUCUCUGAAAAGCAAGUGCUGAGUUGGGGGCCAUCAGUAGUUCCAGGUCUUCGGUAAGUGGCAGAAUGAGUGACUAAGAAUGGAGUUCUCAUCUGACAGCGAUCUCUCAUCCCUAUUGUCUCCACCAGCUUCAUCUUGCCAUGUGGGAGCCCAGGAGUGUCUAUCGGAAAAAAAAAAAAGCUACUUACUACACAGAAAGCAGAGUGCACAGUUACAUGAAUUGGGAGCUGGAGAAGAAUACCUUUGAGAGGUAAUGCCAUAAGACACAGAGCUUGAACAAGUUCUUAGUAACUCUGCAAAAGUAUGUUUUCUAAGUAGGCAGAAACUAUCCAAGUAUCUCCCCAUCUUUUUAGGCUGUGUAAUCAGGGGUGGGCAGCGAAGACUGCCUUAGGUGCGAAGUUCAAGAAGAACAGGAAUCACAAGGCAAAAACAAAAAACAAUUAAAACUGUAUGAUUAGCCACAUAUUUCUAGAAAAUAUCCCUGUGAAACUCAUACAUGUACAACGACUAACAUAAAGUGAAAUUGUAUGUGUGUAUAAUACAUACAAACACAUAUAUGUGCAAUAUAUAUGCAAUUAUGAGCUAUAUGUAUGUAGCCUAUAGAUAACAAUGUAUAAAAACCAAUCAGAAGACUCUUCAGAGUACCGUUUGCUAUGUCUAGCCACAGGGAUGACCAUGGGAGCCAAGCAGUCAGGGAGGAUUUCAGAAUCUCAACAGAAAUGUCAGCAGCAUCAGCAACAGAGUAAAGGUGCUUGAUAGCAAGACAGCAAAAGAAAUCGUGGAUGUCGGUUCAGCACCGUGAUGCUCGUACCGUCCACUGGAGCAGUUUGAAGAAAGACUUUCAUUAACAUACUUACACAGCAGUUGGCAUGCUUCCGGUGGCACAAUCAGGAUUCAAGGCAGAGCGCUUAAUGCCAAAGGGUAUUUCAUUGACACUCUCAGCACCAGAAUCUUCAAGGACUUCACCCCAGGCACAACGAUACUGAAGCAAAUGAACGUUUAGAGUGUUCUGAUAAAGAACGAUGGGUUUUUGUUGUUGUUGUUGUUUUGUUUUGUGUUUUUGUUUUGUUUUGUUUUUCCUUUUAAAUUAAACUCUCCAACUCAACUGCCUUUCUUCAGUAACAACUCAGUGUUCCCAAUGCAAUUUUCCAACUGG